rnacentral:rRNA from 1 species
GGGGAAUUUUCCGCAAUGGGCGCAAGCCUGACGGAGCAACGCCGCGUGAGGGAUGAAGGCCUCUGGGCUGUAAACCUCUUUUCUCAAGGAAGAAGAUCUGACGGUACUUGAGGAAUAAGCCACGGCUAAUUCCGUGCCAGCAGCCGCGGUAAUACGGGAGUGGCAAGCGUUAUCCGGAAUUAUUGGGCGUAAAGCGUCCGCAGGCGGCCUUGAAAGUCUGUUGUUAAAGCGUGGAGCUUAACUCCAUUUCAGCAAUGGAAACUACAAGGCUAGAGUGUGGUAGGAGCAGAGGGGAUUCCCGGUGUAGCGGUGAAAUGCGUAGAUAUCGGGAAGGACACCAGUGGCGAAGGCGCUCUGCUGGGCCAUAACUGACGCUCAUGGACGAAAGCCAGGGGAGCGAAAGGGAUUAGANACCCCUGUAGUC